CCUACGGGAGGCAGCAGUGGGGAAUUUUGGACAAUGGGCGAAAGCCUGAUCCAGCAAUGCCGCGUGAGUGAAGAAGGCCUUCGGGUUGUAAAGCUCUUUUGUCAGGGAAGAAACGGUGAGAGCUAAUAUCUCUUGCUAAUGACGGUACCUGAAGAAUAAGCACCGGCUAACUACGUGCCAGCAGCCGCGGUAAUACGUAGGGUGCAAGCGUUAAUCGGAAUUACUGGGCGUAAAGCGUGCGCAGGCGGUUUUGUAAGUCUGAUGUGAAAUCCCCGGGCUCAACCUGGGAAUUGCAUUGGAGACUGCAAGGCUAGAAUCUGGCAGAGGGGGGUAGAAUUCCACGUGUAGCAGUGAAAUGCGUAGAUAUGUGGAGGAACACCGAUGGCGAAGGCAGCCCCCUGGGUCAAGAUUGACGCUCAUGCACGAAAGCGUGGGGAGCAAACAGGAUUAGAUACCCUGGUAGUCCACGCCCUAAACGAUGUCUACUAGUUGUCGGGUCUUAAUUGACUUGGUAACGCAGCUAACGCGUGAAGUAGACCGCCUGGGGAGUACGGUCGCAAGAUUAAAACUUAAAGGAAUUGACGGCUGGNGAGNGCGACGGACGACGACGAGGGAGGAGG
rnacentral:rRNA from 1 species